CAGUAGCCGCGGUAAUACAGAGGGUGCGAGCGUUAAUCGGAUUUACUGGGCGUAAAGCGUGUGUAGGUUGUUGUUCAAGUCAGUUGUGAAAUCCCUGGGCUCAACCUGGGAACUGCUUCUGAGACUGAACGACUAGAGUACGGUAGAGGGUGGUGGAAUUUCCGGUGUAGCGGUGAAAUGCGUAGAUAUCGGAAGGAACAUCAAUGGCGAAGGCAGCCACCUGGGCCUGUACUGACACUGAGACACGAAAGCGUGGGGAUCAAACAGGAUUAGAUACCCGCGUAGUCCCUGUCUCUUAUAC
rnacentral:rRNA from 1 species